UUUAUAUAUUAAGGCAAAAUAUCCUUGAGUCCAAAUUCUUUAAGGUAAAAUGGUGAAAGGCAAAAUUAUUGGACUCCAAAAUAAAUGGAUCAACCCAAAAAAACAUUUUAAUUACUGAAUAAAAUCGUUAAAUGAUUAUUGAAUUCAAUCCUCUCUUUCCUUUUAUUAAUGUUCAACUCCAAAAAAAAUCAGUCUUAUUUAGAACAAACAAAUACAGGGGGAGGAAAAAGAGUACAUGCCCCAUCUAUAAAGUGUUCCUUAGAAAGAUAUAAAGUCAACACUGUACUAAUGGUCACCUCAUUUAAACGUGCUACCACACUAAGUGGACAUAUCCAGUUCCCAUGCAGGAAUUUCCUAACAUAUAAAUACUGUAUGAAGCGUGGCCCUGCAAACCUAGACCAGCUGUGAUAUAAAUUAUUAGAUAUGGAGGCUUUGGAAUUUCUUUCAACACCAAUAACCAUUUAUUGGAUGUGUAUACUAUGAUAGUACCCUAUUUGUUGAAGCAAAUUACAGAUAUACAACUAAUCAGGAGAAUUAAAGUUCUUGUGAAUGCGUUUGAGAAAUACUCAGACAGAUCUGGCCUAAUUUUCAAUAAAGAUAAGACUGUUAUCCUCCCGAUUGGUUCGUGGUGUGCAGAUAGGUCAGCUAAAAUUAAAGGCUGUUCCAUUUCUGACAAAAUUGUAGUUUUGGGCAUUGAAUAGCAGAGAGACGGCGAAAUAAAAGCUAACUGGAUGUCACUAAAUUCUACUAUCUACAAAAAAGUAAAAGAAUGGAGAAGUUUUAAUAUUCUCCGACGGAUUGAUUUUUACAAUAUCCACAUUGUUCCCUUAGUGUUAUAUAAAGCUGAAAAAUCAAUUAAGGAGGAAAAUGUGUGUCUAAAAACCGUUUUCAAUCAUAAAUAUAUCUCCAAUCUUGUAGGACCGAGGAAAUGCAUUGUUGGUGGAAUAACUUUGUUGUCCAUCAUAGUUCCUAAAAUAUAUCGAAAAGUAUUUAUUGAUAUUACUCUUAAACCACAUAUUGAAUGGAGAGCAAUGGUAUCAAAUACAGCAAUCUACACAUAUUUUAUGAUGAGAACUAUUGCAUCUAAUGAAGUUGUUGGGGAAAUAUCCCCAUGACAGGGAGCUGUUCAUCAUAUCAUUUGGCCUGGAACACCUAUAUAUGAGUCCAAUACAACGAUUGACAUCAUUCACCAGACCAGAUCUAUAAAAAAAUUCUUCCAAAAUACUGAGGGACCCCGUUUCCUGGAGAAUCUAGCCUUACGCGAUGAUAUAAUAACAGUUCAUGAUCUUGAUAAAAAAAAAACUCCUCAGUCUUUGUACGAGGUACAAGAACUUUUAAUUCUACCAUUCAUGCCUUUGUUGAUUGCCUUAAUGUUAGGAUUUUAAACAUUGAAUCGAAUUUCACAAAAGUAUUUAUAUUAUUUGGAGUAUUAAAUAGUAGGACUUCCUCUGAUAAUUUUAAAGCAUUGGAUGUUGCUGUGUCUAACGCUAAAUCCCUUAUUGUUAACAGGUUUAUGCACCUAUCAAUAUCACUGGAAGAUGCAAAAUUAAGAACAAUUUUUAUAUCUGCUGCAGUGCGAUACUCAGCCUUCUCUUAAACGAUUACAAAUGUGUCGGGUUAUGGAUGGCAAUAUGGAGCGGAUUUGAUACGAUACUACCCAAAAAUAUCAGCAAUAUAUUUGAGUACAUUGAAAAGAAUUAUUAGGUCUUAUGAAACUUUGGUGAAACUACUGAAAUUAUGUUUUCCAAGCGACAGAAGGCUUGGCACCUGCUGUGGAUGUAGUACCCGAUCAUGGGAUCCCAGUGCUGGGUAAAAGUGGCCUUGAGGGCCUCGGUGUUUGGAUGAUGGAUACUGCAGGCCUUCCCCUGGUGUAGUCGAGGGGGUUAGCUUCAGGGAUGUAAGCGGGAAAAAGUGUGAAGAAAGAGUUCAAAAGACUCAUUCAAUAGCCGUGCAACAGAAUAGUUGGAUUUCUUUCGUUGUUGGUGUCAAUAGUGGCCCUUCUACCAUCACUAGACUCUUUUCCCCAAGUUUUUUUGAUAGCUCUCUGGAGAGACUGGUGUGAAAUCCCAAGAUUUCUUACAGUGGUCCUUAUAAACUUGAGGGGAUUAAUAUGGGCUUUUUUUCUUUAACUCCUCCAGAUCCAGUUUGGCUUGAUUGACAGAUCCCCUCUUCUUCUCCAACAUUUCGUAUUUAGUAACGGCAUAGGUGGUGGUCCCUAGAGACGCCAAACUGAUUGGAGUGCGCGUAUGGAAAACCGUCGACCACGGUCAAGUCUCAUUUUCUCGAUUUGAACCCACCACAAAAAGAAAUCCAUCUUCAACGUUAUCUGGGACUCCUCAACAACAUGAAGAGUGCAGCGCCAGGCAGACUCAUCCUCUUCUCAGACGAGAAGACUUUUGACGUUGAUGCCGUAUAUAACUGCCAGUAUGUGUGCGCGGAAAUCAAUGAGGAGCUUCGAAGGAUGACCAAUCUCAAACAACCAGCAUCAGCCAUGACGAUAGGAAUUAUUGCCUCCAAUGGCAUUAUGGCACCCGUUAUCUGGUUCCCGGAGGGUUACAGGCUCACAACACCCAUGUAUAUCGACGUUUUCAAGGCCAAUCUGAUCCCGUGGAUCCAGAUAAAUUUCACCAACGGCAACAUCAUCUUUCAGAAAGAUAGCACCCACGCUAACACUGUGAAAAUUACUCACACCUUAAUAGCUAGUAACAUCGAUUUCUGGGACAAGAGUAUGUGCUCACUAUACAGUCCGAAUGUUUAGAUAUUCUUGGUAGCCUUAGAAAAAUCUUUAUAAUUGUUUUUUAUGGCUCAGAAUAAUGUAUAUCAGAAUUAAUUAAUGCAAAAUAAUGAUUAAUACUGUAUCAUAUUUUUA
rnacentral:lncRNA from 1 species